UAUAGUACUAUCUGGGGUCUCAUACUCUUCCCCCUUUAAGCCCUGACGUCUUCAUUAGGCUCAGACUCACAAAUAUCAGGCGAUGUGAGACUCAUCUCACUAGUUUAUACCGACCUUAUAGGGGAGCCGCGCUCUACCCACAACAGUCAACAGUGUGAGAGUCUCGCUCUCUCCACUGUAUAAUUCUGACUCAGCCGAGACUCAUCUCACACUUCCGACUGGUAAUUGGCUCUGAUACCAAACGUAAUGUCCUGACUUUCUUGGGGAUCAUCCAUUCUAGAACUAUUCCCGUCUUAGCACGCUUAACUCUCUUAAACUCUUAGGCCUUGCCACCACCUAAAAUACUUAAGCCGAAUUAAGAGUUUAGGCGUCCUAUUAUAUCUUAUAUAUAGGACUAUCUGAGAUUUCACAUUAUUCCACAAAAAUAGUGAAAUAGUAAAUUCCAAGCUAUUCCGAAAUAGUUGGAAAUAACAAGGUUUGAUCGGGAUAUAAUAUUCCGGCAAAAAAUCACCUCGUUUGGCAAAAUAGCGGGGAUAACUUUCGUUAUCCCCGCUUAUCCUCCGAGCCAAACGGGGCCUCAAGCUUCGUUUGGAAUUGCGGAAAAAUUACAUUACGCGCGGUGAGAAAGUACGGUAGAAAAUUAUUCUGUUUGUUUUCGUACGUAAUAUUUCGUUCCGCAUAUCGCGAUGAAUCGGUUACGAUAUAUUUUUUGCGGUCUCACCAGAGAACGCAGAAGUAUAUCCCUAUAUUUAUUUAUCCUAACUCUAUUUUAUCUGAUAGUGUCAGAUGGGCCUCAAUACAAAACUAUGCCUUAGUUGUAAUUUGAAUUCAUAAUUUUAAAUUAUAAAUUUAAUCCGAAUCUUAAAUUUUAACGUCUGAAUUUAAAUUUUAACUAAAAUUUAAUUUUGAACCUAAAUUUAGAUUUGAAAUUUAAAUUCAAAUUCAAAA
rnacentral:lncRNA from 1 species